AAUUUGGCGCCUAAAAUGGAGUCUACUGCGCAUGCUACGUGCUACGAUUUCCGGCUGCGUAGAGAUAAUACGCAGUCGUUCUUCCCAAAUUCUCUCUCUCCUCCGUUGGCUUUCGAAGUGAAUAUCCACAAAGCCAUCAACAAGCAGAAAACAGUAUCUAAUUUAUUUAACAACUAUAAGGAUCAUCCGUUAACUUCUAAUAUGUCUUACGGUAAAAACGGCGGCGGUGGAGGUGGUGGCGGCGGCGGCGGAGGUGGUUCCUUCAAGGGCCGAUCAGGAGGUGGAUCAUACAGAAAUGGUGGUGGCGGCGGCGGAGGCGGUGGUGGUGGUGGACGUUUCCGUGGAGGCGGCGGCGGACACAACCGUUCCGGGGGCAACAACCGCUCCGGAGGUUGGGAUCAACCUGGAGGUGGACUGAGGAAACCUUCAUGGGAGAUGAACAAAUUGAGGCCGUUCAAGAAAGAUUUCUAUGUACCACACCAUGACGUCUCCAACCGCUCUCGCUACGAGGUAGAACAAUACCGUAUUUCCAAGCAAAUUACUGUCGAAGGAGAGGAAAUUCCUGACCCUAUCCAGUAUUUCGAGGAAGCAAGUUUCCCAGAUUAUGUGAUGGCCAGUAUUAAAAAGCAGGGUUAUGAUACACCAACAGCUAUUCAAGCACAAGGCUGGCCUAUUGCUAUGAGUGGGAAGAACAUGGUUGGAAUUGCACAAACAGGAUCUGGAAAAACAUUGGCUUACAUUCUGCCAGCUAUUGUACAUAUCAAUAACCAGCAACCCAUUAGCCGUGGUGAUGGACCUAUUGCCCUUGUACUGGCACCAACACGUGAACUUGCACAACAGAUUCAGCAAGUGGCGACAGAUUUUGGCAAAAAUUCGUAUGUGAAGAACACGUGCAUUUUCGGUGGUGCUCCCAAAGGACCCCAGGCACGUGAUCUGGAAAAUGGCGUCGAAAUUGUCAUUGCCACACCCGGAAGGCUUAUUGAUUUCUUGGAAAGGGGAACCACAAAUCUGUCGAGGUGCACAUAUCUUGUAUUGGAUGAAGCUGAUCGUAUGUUGGACAUGGGUUUUGAACCACAAAUUCGUACUAUUAUUGAGCAAAUCAGGCCAGACAGGCAAACCCUUAUGUGGUCUGCAACCUGGCCCAAAGAAGUUAGGAAAUUGGCUUCAGAUUUUCUGAAUAAUUAUGUGCAAAUUAAUAUUGGCUCCCUGCAAUUAUCUGCUAAUCACAACAUUUUACAAAUUGUUGAUGUUUGCCAGGAAUAUGAGAAGGAAGUCAAAUUAAACACAUUAUUGGAAGAAAUUGGAAAUAAUGGUGAACCUGGAGCGAAAACCAUUAUUUUUGUUGAAACCAAAAGGAAAGUAGAACAAAUUACAAGGAAUAUUCGCAGGAAUGGAUGGCCAGCAGUGUGCAUGCAUGGUGACAAGAGCCAACAGGAGCGCGAUUAUGUGUUGCGCGAAUUCCGUAACGGAAAGACUAGCAUUUUGGUUGCUACUGAUGUAGCAGCUCGUGGGCUUGAGGCACAUGCAGGAUGAGCGUAGUUUUUAGCCAGUGAGUGCUAAUGAAUACGCCUUUUUUGCGUUCUCCUAUAAAGGACGCAAUUCUGAGUCUUGCGGUGCCUCUGGCUGGCUACCCUGCUGAGGUGUAGAUCAGCUAAUGAGGUAGAUGACCGAUUCAGGAAGAUCUGAUGAUGCAACACUUGUAUGAUGGCACAUGUUUGUUAUCUGAUUAAUAAUCUCUCCUUUCCAUUCCGCUGAAUGUAAAUUCAGUAAUAAUACAAAAAAAAAAAUAACAAUAUACAACUAAGGAUCACACUUACUGUUUACCAAAACUACACCUUUACAAACUGUAAACUCCCAUGAUCCAAGUAGAAGAUUAUUCAAACAGAUGUCAUUCACAAAGUAUUAUUGUCUUCCGUUCGGUCCUGCAGUGGAUUGACCAAUUUCGACAACUUAAUAUUGGGAUCUGCUGCAGCCAGUUUAUUUGCUACUAUAGCUGUAAAUCGUACAUAGCCUAGCGUCUUGUGGAUUCUUAAUGUUCUCGAGCGCACUGAUGUGGAAGGUAUUAAGUACGUGAUAAACUUUGAUUAUCCAAACUCGUCAGAAGAUUAUAUUCAUCGUAUUGGACGUACUGGCAGAUCUGAU